GGUCAGUGUGAGACACGUCACCUUCACCGCCGAGACACACAACUUCCCCACAGGUGGGUGUGGGUGUGGUCAGGGCGUGGUCAGUGGGUGUGGUCAGUGUGAGACACGUCACCUUCACGGCCGAGACACACAACUUCCCCACAGGUGGGUGUGGGUGUGGUCAGGGGGUGUGGUCAGUGGGUGUGGUCAGUGUGAGACACGUCACCUUCACGGCCGAGACACACAACUUCCCCACAGGUGGGUGUGGGUGUGGUCAGGGGGGGUGGUCAGUGGGUGUGGUCAGUGUGAGGCACGUCACCUUCACGGCCGAGACACACAACUUCCCCACAGGUGGGUGUGGUCAGGGCGUGGUCAGUGGGUGUGGUCAGUGUGUGUUCAGUGAUGGGUGUGGUCAGUGGGUGUGGUCAGUGGGUGUGGUCAGGGGUGUGGUCAGUGUGAGACACGUCACCUUCACGGCAGAGACACACAACUUCCCCACAGGUGGGUGUGGUCAGUGAGGGGGUGUGGUCAGUGAUGGGUGUGGUCAGUGGGUGUGGUCAGUGUGAGACACGUCACCUUCACGGCUGAGACACACAACUUCCCCACAGGUGGGUGUGGUCAGUGAGGGGUGUGGUCAGUGGGUGUGGUCAGUGGGGGUGGUUAGUGGGUGUGGUCAGUGAUGGGUGUGGUCAGUGAGGUGGUCAGAGGGUGUGGUCAGUGAUGGGUGUGGUCAUGGAGGUGAUGAGGGUGUGGUCAGAGGGUGUGGUCAGUGAUGGGUGUGGUCAGUGAUGGGUGUGGUCAUGGAGAUGAUCAGGGUGUGGUCAGUGAUGGGUGUGGUCAGUGGUGGGUGUGGUCUGGAAGGGUGUGGAUAGAGGGUGUGGUCAGACGGCAUGGUCAGUGGUCAUGGCCAGAGGGGCGUGGUCAGGAGGGGGCGUGUCCUCCCUGGCCACACCCCCUCCCAUCCUUCCUUCCCCUGGGCUGGGCCGGGUGGGCGUGGCU